UAUAAUAUAAGAAUUAGAUACCCUAUUAUUGAGAAUAAUAAAUUGUAAGUAAAUAUAAAUCCUAUAGCAAAAAAUUAUGGCGGCAUCUUAAGCUUUUCAGAGGAAUUUGCUCUUUAAUAGAUAAAACACCCAAAUCAUCCUUAAAUUGGUUAAAUCAGUUGGUAUACCACUUUAAAAAUUAUAAUUGACUUUUAUUAUUUCUAUUCUUAAAGAAAUAAGGUAAGUCAAGGGGCAGCUAAAAUUUAAGGAUGAAGUGAAUUUCAUUUCUUUUAAGAAAUAAAACCUAUGAAAUAAAAUUUAGGACUGCUUGUAAAAUUAAAUAGAAUAGGUUUUAUUUAAUAAGUGAGGUAG
rnacentral:rRNA from 1 species